rnacentral:ncRNA from 2 species
ACUGAAUACAUAGCGCCAGAACCCGGAGGGGGCAAUUCAGCCGGUAUUUUUGAACCGGACGGAGUCCCGGUCCGUAUACUUAUUGAAAAUCCCGUCCUGUGCUUUCCAGACGGGAGGCUGAUUUCUGUUUUCCGGGUUGACGAGGAGGGAGUGCAUCGAAAUUUUCGGCGGAUGCUCCCCGGUCGGCCACGACCGUCAACGGCAUGACAAAACCGGCGGGUAACCGCCGGGACAAAGGUGCCUGGUGGCGACGG